CUUGCACUUCGGAAAGAAGGAGCUCUCCUUAGGCUGGGAGGGGCCAAGCCGCUGGCCCGUGAGCCUGGGGCAGCUCUGGACUGUGCUUGCUGUCCUUGAGGAGAAUGCAGCCAGCCCAGGGCAAAUCAGAGCCAGGCAGGAAGAAGACCUCCUUGAGAAGAAAACGGGUGAGUGAAGGCAACAAGCAAUUGACAUGGAUCGAGCAUCUACACUGGAACAUGGCCCUAACAGUGGGCAGCAUGAAACUGAGGAACACAGCAGGAAGCUGAUUUAGGCAAACUCAGCAGGAAGUGUUCCCUGUGAACCCAUGAGACUUCAUCCCUGCGUUGGUCUGGCUGGCUUUCCCUGUGAGAUACAGGUUCCUCCUGAAGAGCUGAAGCUCCAUUCCAGCUCUAGACUUCUCCUUGCUUUCAGACUUCAAGAUGAGAAGCAUUUUUCCAGUCCACAAGUGUUAGAGGACACUGCCGAUGAUGUGUGUUUUGCCCAGGCUGGACUCAGCUUCUUUGUCUCGUUUUGAAAGAAGAGUCAUGCUUCAAUUAAUAACAGACAACGGAGUCAAUAUGAAGGGAGCAGAGACAAUGAUGUGAUCAAAUGCCAAGAAAUGACUGACAGCAGAAAAAAUAUCAUGUGAGCCAAAGCAAUUUCACUUGACUUCUAACUUUAUUCAUCCAACGAAUAACAUUUCAUCACAGUUUUAUCAAUGGAAUGCAAUUCCACCCAGAUCAUUCUGUCAACGACAAGAAACAGCAUCAAAUCAUUCUGUCCACACAAAUAAAUCAAUUGUUGAUUAUUAUUUUCUUCUAUUUGGGAUACAAGGAGGACCAAAUAUUUCGAGUAAAACAAAGGAAAGGAAAGCAGAAAAACUUUUUGUUGUUGUUGACAAAUCCAGCUGGGUAAAUGCAAUUUAUGUCUUUUGAAAAAAUGCAUCCUGAUGUGAGGAGGGAUAAACUGUUUUUAAACUCGAACCAGGGACAAACUGUAAUAAUAAACACACUGGAAGAAAAUGCAACCAUUUAUUGGUUCUUGCAGAUAAAAUAGCAUUUCCAGUUUUUUUUUUUUUGUUUUUUUUUUUUGCUGUUGCUUAUGUAGUUCUCCUUACUGGAAUUCCUCUCCCUUUCUUUGAAUGUAUAAUCACAUUUUGAGAAAACACGAAAUCUCAGGGUCUUACAAAAUCCAACAGGGGAACGUGUCAUCUUUAAAUGACAAGCUGUGUGGGGAGUACUCUGGUUAUGAAUUAGGCUGUUUUUCCUAGUACUGCAAUUUCUUCUUGCUGCCAUUUCGAUGGUGUUGAAAGCCCUUUCUCCAGACUUGUAAGUUGGUGGUCCACUACUGAAUGGAAAGAAAUCUGGUUUUCCAUAUGUUCUCACUCAUAGGUGGGAAUUGAACAAUGAGAACACUUGGA
rnacentral:lncRNA from 1 species